GACGAACGCUGGCGGCGUGCCUAAUACAUGCAAGUCGAACGAGUGGCGGACGGGUGAGUAACACGUGGGAACCUACCCAUCAGAGGGGGAUAACACUUGGAAACAGGUGCUAAUCCCGCAUAUUGAUGGAUGGACCUGCGGUGCAUUAGGUAGUUGGUGAGGUAACGGCUCACCAAGGCAACGAUCCCUAGCUGGUCUGAGAGGAGGACCAGCCACACUGGAACUGAGACACGGUCCAGACUCCUACGGGAGGCAGCAGUGGGGAAUAUUGCACAAUGGGCGAAAGCCGGAUGCAGCCAUGCCGCGUGUGUGAAGAAGGCCUUCGGGUUGUAAAGCACUUUCAGCGGGGAGGCGUUACCCGCAGAAGAAGCACCGGCUAACUCCGUGCCAGCAGCCGCGGUAAUAC
rnacentral:rRNA from 1 species